rnacentral:rRNA from 1 species
UACAGAGGUGGCAAGCGUUGUUCGGAAUUACUGGGCGUAAAGGGCGCGUAGGCGGCCCUCUUAGUCGGACGUGAAAUCCCCAGGCUUAACUUGGGAACUGCGUCCGAUACUGGAGGGCUCGAGUGCGGGAGAGGGAUGUGGAAUUCCAGGUGUAGCGGUGAAAUGCGUAGAUAUCUGGAGGAACACCGGUGGCGAAGGCGGCAUCCUGGACCGACACUGACGCUGAUGCGCGAAAACUAGGGGAGCAAACGGG